UUUCCGUAGGUGAACCUGCGGAAGGAUCAUUACAAAGUUCAUGCCCUAAAGGGUAGACCUCCCACCCUUGUGUAGUAUUACUUUGGUGCGUUGGCGAGCGAAAGCUCGUCAGAGAAUACAAAAACUCUUUUUAUUAAUGUCGUCUGAGUACUAUAUAAUAGUUAAAACUUUCAACAACGGAUCUCUUGGUUCUG
rnacentral:misc_RNA from 1 species